GACGAACGCUGGCGGCGUGCUUAACACAUGCAAGUCGAACGGAAAGGCCCUGCUUUUGUGGGGUGCUCGAGUGGCGAACGGGUGAGUAACACGUGAGUAACCUGCCCUUGACUUUGGGAUAACUUCAGGAAACUGGGGCUAAUACCGGAUAGGAGCUCCUGCUGCAUGGUGGGGGUUGGAAAGUUUCGGCGGUUGGGGAUGGACUCGCGGCUUAUCAGCUUGUUGGUGGGGUAGUGGCUUACCAAGGCUUUGACGGGUAGCCGGCCUGAGAGGGUGACCGGCCACAUUGGGACUGAGAUACGGCCCAGACGCCUACGGGAGGCAGCAGUGGGGAAUAUUGCACAAUGGGCGGAAGCCUGAUGCAGCAACGCCGCGUGCGGGAUGACGGCCUUCGGGUUGUAAACCGCUUUCGCCUGUGACGAAGAGUGAGUGACGGUAAUGGGUAAAGAAGCACCGGCUAACUACGUG
rnacentral:rRNA from 1 species